GUGGGGAAUCUUGCGCAAUGGGCGAAAGCCUGACGCAGCCAUGCCGCGUGAAUGAUGAAGGUCUUAGGAUUGUAAAAUUCUUUCACCGGGGACGAUAAUGACGGUACCCGGAGAAGAAGCUCCGACUAACUUCGUGCCAGCAGCCGCGGUAAUACGAAGGGGGCUAGCGUUGCUCGGAAUUACUGGGCGUAAAGGGCGCGUAGGCGGACAGCUUAGUCAGAGGUGAAAGCCCAGGGCUCAACCUUGGAAUUGCCUUUGAUACUGGCUGUCUUGAGUUUGGGAGAGGUGAGUGGGACUCCGAGUGUAGAGGUGAAAUUCGUAGAUAUUCGGAAGAACACCAGUGGCGAAGGCGACUCACUGGCCCAAUACUGACGCUGAGGCGCGAAAGCGUGGGGAGCAAACAGGAUUAGAAACCCCGGUAGUCC
rnacentral:rRNA from 1 species